UAGAGAGAGAGAGAGAGAAAACAAAAGCCAUGGCAUUAGGCCAUGGCUAGCAAAUUGGAGCUCAAAUUUGUUGAUCCAAAAUCAGAUUUUUCAAAGUAUUCCAACCAGUUAGGAAGGCUAUAAUAACGUGGAUUAGUCAUUUGGAGCAACAAGAACAAGUAUUAGUUCAUUUCACAACUUCUAGCCAAAUUAAGAAGCCAACUUGUUAAGGAUAAGUACCAUUGGGCAGCAAGUACAAGUAUAAUACGACUAAACGCAAAAGGCGGGCCCGACUCGGGUCAAUACCCGUCCGUGGGUCCCGCGACUUUCCUUUAUGUAAUUCGGACGACUUUUGAAAGAAUUUGGUAUGAUUAUCAUUUCGAAUUUCAAGUAUGGUCAUUUACUUAUAUUUGAGUCUAUGAUAAUGAUUUUAUGCAUAUGGUUACUCAUGACUCUGCUCGUGCGUUCUGUUAUAUCUUUCGCCGGUUCCCGGGCCGGUUAUGUUAUCGUGCGCACUUUGAUAUACUCCGGAGUUAUGCUGUGUUUAUGGUUCACCGAGCUACUCGCAAAAGAGGGUCGGGUUCCACCUAUAUUUGGUGUUAUGCUGUGUAUGGCGUUAUGUUGUGAUGUGAUAUGUGACGGGGAUACGGAGAUUUGAAACUUUCUGGUGUUAUGCUGUGUUAUGGCGCCAUCGACGGGUGGGCGACCAUAUUCUUCUGUACCCUAUGCAUUACUUACAUAUUUUUGAAAGUAAGCAAAUUUUGAUAUGUUGGAUUUGCACUUAUGUUUGGUACUUCCAUUUCGUUUAUGUCUCAGAUUUGCUUUCUGUAUAUUCUGCUUUGCAUACUCAGUACAUAUUUCGUACUGACCCCCUUUCUUCGGGGGGCUGCGUUUCAUGCCCGCAGGUACAGACGCACAGUUUGGUGAUCUACCCAUUUAGGACACCCUCUUCUGCUGUUUGGAGUGCUCCUCUCAUUUCAGAGCACACAUUUUGGUAUAUAUUCGUUCGCUAUGUAUAUAUGUAUUUGUUCAGGGGCACGGCGGGGCCCUGUCCCGCCAUAUGAUUCAGUUUGUCUGUUUAGAGGUCUGUAGACGUAUUUGUGGGUGUGUGUGCCUACUUCUGUACGGAUGUGUUUGCAUGACUC